AAUAGGGGUCUUCGGCUUCCUAUUUGGACGGGAAAGAGGCAUAUUUUGGUGACCCACACAAACGGUGAGAAGAGGUACAUGUAUAGAGAGAAAGGGGCACAGCAACUGAAAGGAGAGGGAAGUCCAGACACUCUACCACGGUCUGCCAUUGAAUAAGAAGUCUCUCUUUGGAUCAGGGGGUCAAGCUCCUAGUAUGAAGAUUGUUCAAGAGUCAAGACUGUUGAAGAGGUGACGUCAUGGACCUGGUAGCACCUGGCAAGGGAACUAUAUUACUGUUCAUAAAUCUAUUACUCAAGUAUCCUAAAAACGCUUUAAAAAUUUGAACAUUAACAAAAGUACUAAUUUUCAUUUUUCAAAGAUAAUCAUUAUAUUGACAUUGUGAAUAUAUUUUAUGAUUAUCAUAAAAUUAUUAUAAUGUAAAUGAUGAUAGGUCAUACUAAUACAAAUAAACAAUAAGUAGAAAAGAAGACAACCAAGAAGGAGAAGAAGAAAAAGAAGAGGGGUGGAAGAGGAGAAAAGGAGAAGAAGAAUAAAUAACAACACUGAGUUCCUCUUCAUGAUAUUACAGAAAUCUUCAUCUUUAAGUGGAAAUAUUUAUGAAUAGUAUAAUAUAUAAUGUAUGAAAAAAACAUUUUAUCUAAAUCCAAGUUCCACUUUAAUCAUGUUUAUAAAGUCAUAGGACAGGUGACAAGAUAACAUUGUUUCACAAAUUUUAGUGUUUAUUUAUUUUAAAAGUAAUAAAUUUACAUGAAAUGUCAUUCUUUUUGCUUCAUCUCUUUGUUUAUUUUAUUGAAUCGGGGGUGGGGGGUGAGGGUGGUCAAAAUAUGAUUUGCCCCUCAGAACAAACUUGUUUCCCUACUAAAAAUAGUAUUAAUAUUUGUAGAAAAUUGUAGGAUUGUUUUUAUCAAAUUUGGAAAGUA